rnacentral:rRNA from 1 species
GAUGAACGCUGGCGGCGUGCCUAAUACAUGCAAGUCGAGCGAACAGACGAGGAGCUUGCUCCUCUGACGUUAGCGGCGGACGGGUGAGUAACACGUGGAUAACCUACCUAUAAGACUGAGAUAACUUCGGGAAACCGGAGCUAAUACCGGAUAAUAUAUUGAACCGCAUGGUUCAAUAGUGAAAGACGGUUUUGCUGUCACUUAUAGAUGGAUCCGCGCCGCAUUAGCUAGUUGGUAAGGUAACGGCUUACCAAGGCAACGAUGCGUAGCCGACCUGAGAGGGUGAUCAGCCACACUGGAACUGAGACACGGUCCAGACUCCUACGGGAGGCAGCAGUGGGGAAUAUUGGACAAUGGGCGAAAGCCUGAUGGAGCCAUGCCGCGUGAGUGAAGAAGGUCUUCGGAUUGUAAAGCUCUUUAAGUGGGGAGGAAGAGAAGUAAGUUAAUACCUUCCUGUUUUGACGUUACCAACAGAAAAAGCACCGGCUAACUUCGUG